rnacentral:lncRNA from 1 species
GGAGGCGGUACUUCCUCCAGCAUUUGCCGCGAGUUAUUGGCAAGUUCCCCUGCAGUUGUUUGGGCUGUCGCUGUGGCUGGUUCUGCGGUGUGCGGCCAGCCAUGGAGCGCUCUGGGCCCAGCGAAGUGACAGGCUCAGACGCAUCGGGACCGGACCCGCAGCUUGUGGUCACCAUGGGCUUCACGGGGUUCGGGGUUCGGUAAAAAAGCUCACACAUUUGACUUGGAAGCAAUGUUUGAACAAACUCAAAGAACAGCUGUGGAAAGAAGUCACAAAACACUGGGCCACCAGGAACACACCUGUAGCCCAGCAAAGUUGAGGCCAUCGACUGGCUCAUCACAACAAGGAAGGCUGUGCACCACUGGGACCCAGCAGCAGCUCAGCAGCAGCAGUGAGAGGGCCUUGGGAAAGACUUGGAGGGUUUGGCUUAUACAAGACCAGAUUACAGAGGGGUAUUGAUUUGCCUUGCCCCCGCCCCCACCAUCACAGUGUGUCCCUGUCCAGUGUUGGUGCUGUGUGGCAUUGCUUGUGUCCAUAGGAGUCCAUCAAGGCAGAGCGGCAGAGCGGCAAGCAGAGCGGCAAGGCAGUUCAACCCAAUGGAAAUGGAUUGAAAGAGUGAAAGUCACUGGUCUCAAAGAAUCUACGGAAUUUAGCAUUUUGAAAAUCACAGAGCAAUUUUGGGUAGGUAUUCACAUGCACUAAAAAACCAGGCAAACAUCUGACUCCCAGGAUAAAGUGACUGAGAGCAGUAGAAGACUUGUUGAGCCUUAAGGAAUAAGAGGAAAAUUAUGUUAUGAAGUGCAGGAACAGCACAGACCCAGACGAGGGGAUGCAGCCCGGAGCCAGUAACCCGGCGCCUCCUCCUCCCCAGGGCGCAGCGCUGGCUGCUCCCCGGAUACCGUGAUCACACGUCCCAGGUCCUGAGAGCGCCUCAUAGGUAGACAGUUCUUUGGGACUUUUGGGACGCAGCACUUGAAGAGAGGUUUACCUAAACUUUCCUCCUGGGAGCCUGUCAUCAUUUGAAAGUAACAGAAGAAAGCUGUCAGGCUGAGGAAAGUUUCAACAGGCACUUGGUGAGAAUGGGAAGCAUCCAUUCAUUGGGAAAUCACGGGGACAGAGGAGGAAUUCACGGGAUCAGAGCACUGAGAAACUCCAGAGGCUUCUGGUUCACCGCCCUGAUUCCACAGAUGUGGGUCAGAGGCAGAGAUGGAAGUUGGAAUGGACAAGCCUGCCCUCUCCUCAGCUCUCCAUGGCUCUGUCCUCAGGCUGUUUCUGCAAUUUGACAUGAGGCCUGGCCCCAGGGAAACCAGUGGGGCCUCAUCUCCUCCCUGUGCUGCUCUGAGGUGGAGCCUUCUCAGGGUCAGUCCAGCUCUGGAGCCCCUCUCCAGCUCGGUCACCAAAGCUGUCUGGUCCCAGGGCAGUGUGGAGUGACAGGCACGCCAGCCAAUCCAAUCGGCCAUUUCAUACCCAAUGCAUGUGACUGAUAAAGAGAUAACACCCUGUCUCCAAGACACAGGCUUUACAUAAACAGCUUUAAUGACUUCUUCACUUAGGGACAAGACUCCUUAGUGGUGGAACCUCAGGCAUCCAUGCAGGAUGUAAGAAAGCUCCCGUAUAUACAUGAACUGAGAAGUGUGUAGAAGAGUAAAUACUGUAAUAGGUAAUAAAAUGUAUGUAUUUUUAUUUAUGUGCUACUUUGUCUUUCUCCCUCUCUGUGUAUAUACACAUACAUACAAAAAUGUAUUCAUUCUAUGGAAAACAUGAAAGAUGUAAUAUUCUUUACAUAUUUAAUUAAUGUAUUUUUUCUGAUCAUAUGAACACCACAAAUAUAAUUUUAUAAUUUUUUUACCUAACAAUAAGUCUUAAACAUAAAUAUACAUGGACAAUAUCAUAGUUUUUUUUUUAAUCAUAAUUAAAAUGGUUGUGAAACA